GUGACUGCGUACCUUUUGUAUAAUGGGUCAGCGACUUAUAUUUAGUAGCGAGGUUAACCGAUUAGGGGAGCCGUAGCGAAAGCGAGUGUUAACUGCGCGUUUAGUUGCUAGGUAUAGACCCGAAACCCGGUGAUCUAGCCAUGGGCAGGUUGAAGGUUGAGUAACAUCAACUGGAGGACCGAACCGACUGACGUUGAAAAGUCAGCGGAUGACUUGUGGCUGGGGGUGAAAGGCCAAUCAAACCGGGAGAUAGCUGGUUCUCCCCGAAAUCUAUUUAGGUAGAGCCUCGGACGAACACCAUUGGGGGUAGAGCACUGUUAAGGCUAGGGGGUCAUCCCGACUUACCAACCCUUUGCAAACUCCGAAUACCGAUGAGUGCUAUCCGGGAGACACACGGCGGGUGCUAACGUCCGUCGUGGAGAGGGAAACAACCCAGACCGCCAGCUAAGGUCCCAAAAUAUUGCUAAGUGGGAAACGAUGUGGGAAGGCUAAGACAGCUAGGAGGUUGGCUUAGAAGCAGCCAUCCUUUAAAGAAAGCGUAAUAGCUCACUAGUCGAGUCGGCCUGCGCGGAAGAUGUAACGGGGCUAAGCAAUAUACCGAAGCUGCGGCAUUAUCUUAGGAUAAUGGGUAGGGGAGCGUUGUGUAAGUGGAUGAAGGUGAGUUGAGAAGCUUGCUGGACAUAUCACAAGUGCGAAUGCUGACAUGAGUAACGAUAAUGGGGGUGAAAAACCCCCACGCCGGAAGACCAAGGUUUCCUGUCCCAUGCUAAUCAGGGCAGGGUAAGUCGGCCCCUAAGGCGAGGCCGAGAGGCGUAGUCGAUGGGAAACAGAUUAAUAUUUCUGUACUUAUAUAGUGAGUGAUGGAGAGACGGAGAAGGUUAUGCUAGCUUGGCGUUGGUUGUCCAAGUGAAAGUAUGUAGGGUUGUGCUUUAGGCAAAUCCGGAGCACUACAUGCCUGAGAUACGAGACGAUUUCCCACGGGAAAGAAGUAGCAAAUACCCGGCUUCCAGGAAAAUCUUCUAAGCGUAUUGCUAUAUGAACCGUACCCCAAACCGACACAGGUGGUCAGGUAGAGAAUACUAAGGCGCUUGAGAGAACUCGGGUGAAGGAACUCGGCAAAAUUGUACCGUAACUUCGGGAGAAGGUACGCCCUUGUUUGUGAUGGGCUUUACGCCUUAAGCGAAUGAGGGCCGCAGUGACCAGGUGGCUGGGACUGUUUAUUAAAAACACAGCACUGUGCUAAAUCGCAAGAUGACGUAUACGGUGUGACACCUGCCCGGUGCCGGAAGGUUAAUUGAUGGGGUUAGACAUUUGUCGAAGCUCUUGAUAGAAGCCCCGGUAAACGGCGGCCGUAACUAUAACGGUCCUAAGGUAGCGAAAUUCCUUGUCGGGUAAGUUCCGACCUGCACGAAUGGUGUAACCAUGGCCACGCUGUCUCCACCCGAGACUCAGUGAAAUUGAAAUUGCUGUGAAGAUGCAGUGUACCCGCACCUAGACGGAAAGACCCCGUGAACCUUUACUA
rnacentral:rRNA from 1 species